rnacentral:rRNA from 1 species
AGUGUGGAGGCAUAGAGCCUUCACUUUUGUACACCGUAAGGUGGUGCACGAAUAAGGACUGGCAAGACCGGUGCCAGCCGCCGCGGUAAUACCGGCAGUCCGAGUGAUGGCCGAUCUUAUUGGGCCUAAAGCGUCCGUAGCUGGCUGAACAAGUCCGUUGGGAAAUCUGUCCGCUUAACGGGCAGGCGUCCAGCGGAAACUGUUCAGCUUGGGACCGGAAGACCUGAGGGGUACGUCUGGGGUAGGAGUGAAAUCCUGUAAUCCUGGACGGACCGCCGGUGGCGAAAGCGCCUCAGGAGAACGGAUCCGACAGAGAGGGACGAAAGCUAGGGUCUCGAACCGGAUUAGAUACCCGGGUAGUCCUAGCUGUAAACGAUGUCCGCUAGGUGUGGCGCAGGCUACGAGCCUGCGCUGUGCCGUAGGGAAGCCGAGAAGCGGACCGCCUGGGAAGUACGUCUGCAAGGAUGAAACUUAAAGGAAUUGGCGGGGGAGCACUACAACCGGAGGAGCCUGCGGUUUAAUUGGACUCAACGCCGGACAUCUCACCAGCCCCGACAGUAGUAAUGACGGUCAGGUUGAUGACCUUACCCGAGGCUACUAAGAGGAGGUGCAUGGCCGCCGUCAGCUCGUACCGUGAGGCGUCCUGUUAAGUCAGGCAACGAGCGAGACCCGCACUCCUAAUUGCCAGCAGUGCCCUUUGGGUAGCUGGGUACAUUAGGUGGACUGCCGCUGCCAAAGCGGAGGAAGGAACGGGCAACGGUAGGUCAGUAUGCCCCGAAUGGGCUGGGCAACACGCGGGCUACAAUGGUCGAGACAAUGGGAAGCCACUCCG